AUAAUAUACUGUGAACACAAAUCUCAAUAAGUUUAUGUAACAAUAAAACUCUUUUUGUUACAGAAAAUUGUUAAGACUGAAAGACUGCUUCUUAUAACAAGCAGAUCUAAAUUUAUAUCCAAAUGUGCAAUCCUUUUUUUUUAACGACAAGAUGACUCUGCAUCUUCUCUCCUCCGCUCUAGAAACCGAUUUCUUUUGUUCAAAUGACAUUUAGAAUUUCUGAUUCAGCAAUAAACUAUAGUACAUUGUACGUGUUAACAAUCGCUCGCAAACUUUUCCAGUGAUUCGAGACACGCGAUGCUUUCUGGAAAAUGGUGCUACCGCAGCGCAUCUUUUUGUCAGCGAGGAUCUGCCUGUUGGCGAUACCGUAGGAGUCCUCGGAGUGCUAGGUGAUCCUGGCUCGCAAGGUGACAUCGAGCUGAGCCUGCAGGAGCAUGACAGCCCCGUCACGUUCUCACCGUAUUCGAAGAAUUUAACUCUUAUUAGACCUCUUGACAAGGAAGGUAUCGAGGGACCAGCCAGUGUCUACAUCAAUGUUAUCUGCGAGAAAAAACAUACCUUAGAUCCGGGUUUUAUCAUACCGGUAAACAUUCGGGUAACCGACGCAAAUGAUAAUUCACCGCAAUUCGUGAAUGCGCCUUAUGUCCUGAAUAUUUCUGAGGUUACUGUUGUCGGCACAAGAGUUUUACAAGGAGUUCGAGCUAUUGAUGCUGAUCAACCAGGACCAUAUUCCACUGUACAGUAUGCAGUCUUACCAGGACCUCACUCGGU